GAUGAACGCUGGCGGCGUGCCUAAUACAUGCAAGUCGAACGAGGUAGCAAUACCGAGUGGCGAACGGGUGAGUAACACGUAGGUAACCUGCCCUUAAGCUUGGGAUACCCAGAGGAAACUUUGGCUAAUACCGGAUAACAACAGAGAAGGCAUCUUCUUUGCUUGAAAGGCCCCUUCAAGGGUCACUUAAGGAUGGACCUGCGGCGCAUUAGCUAGUUGGUGAGAUAACAGCCCACCAAGGCGAGGAUGCGUAGCCGAACUGAGAGGUUGAUCGGCCACAUUGGAACUGAGACACGGUCCAAACUCC
rnacentral:rRNA from 1 species